GGCCUGCCCACUGAGGAUUUAAAUGGCCGCGGUAUUUUGACCGUGCAAAGGUAGCAUAAUAAUUAGUUUUUUAAUUGAAAGCUGGAAUGAAAGGUUGGAUGAGAAAAUAACUGUCUCUAUUUAGAUUAAUUAGAAUUUUAUUUUUAAGUAAAAAAGCUUAAAUAAAGAUAGAAGACGAGAAGACCCUAUAGAGUUUUAAUUUAGUUGGGGUGAUUGAAAAAUUUAGUAAACUUUUUUUGUAAAUAACCAUUGAUAUAUGAAUAUUUGAUCCUUUUUUUAAGAUUAAAAGAAAAAAUUACCUUAGGGAUAACAGCGUAAUUUUUUUAGAGAGUUCAAAUCGAAAAAAAAGAUUGCGACCUCGAUGUUGGAUUAAAAUUAAGUCUUGGUGUAGAAGCUAA
rnacentral:rRNA from 1 species